rnacentral:rRNA from 1 species
CGGCAACAGCUCAAAUUUGAAAUCUGGCCUCUUUGGGGUCCGAGUUGUAAUUUGGAGAGGAUGUUUCGGGUACGGUCCGGGCUUAAAUUUCUUGGAACAGAAUGUCAUAGAGGGUGAGAAUCCCGU